rnacentral:lncRNA from 1 species
ACAAGAAAUUACAUGUCUUAUUUAUCUCCGCUGACAUUACUCCUGCAGGAGCUGGGUGCUGGUGGAAUGUGUUGCACUGGAACAUUUCCCUCUGAUGCUGGGCAGUUUCCUCCCCACUGGAAGUCCUGAAGGGAGGGCCCCAUCUCAGGCUGAGACUGGGAAUCUGCCAGCAGAGCAGCACUAAUUGGAAGAUGACAAAUGUUUGCUGCUGGACCUCUGAUGAUGGUUGUGCUCCUGGAUCCCUGCCGUCUCCUAGGAUGACCAAUUUAUUUAGGCUGACUCAGGCACAGACCCUGCCUUCAUUUCAAAGAUGGUCAAUCAACAGGGAUAUGGCCACAGUUCCAGCAAGCUGGGACAUUGCUGGGAUGGCAUCCUCAGGACUGUGUCUACUCUUUUCCAAGUUCCAGUCCAGAGCUGGAAGAAUUUCCUCAGGGAAGAGGAUAAAUAUUCCACCUUCAGCCUUUCCAGAGCAUUAGUGACACAGCAGUGUGCACACCUGUGGGAUUGGUUACAUCUCUCUGCCAAGGACUGGUUUACAGGAAUUUAAGAAGGGAACUCAGCUCUUCAAAUAAAAUAGCCACCUAAGAGAAUAAAAUUGUUCA